AGUUGCAGACAUUUUUCAAAAAUAUCUGGCAUCACUGUUUCUAGUACAUUUUUCUUUUCGUUCCAUGUCCUCACGCCGUUAAAUUUUUAAACCAAAAACCAUUUGGUGUUCAAAAAAAAGGUCUUGUUUUUAUCGGAAAGUGCCGUCGGGAAAUGGAAAUUGAAGUUGUGACGCUUAAACCAUGGAUGUGCAGAAUUUGCUUGGAAAAGGGUAAUUACAAUAUCUUCAAAGAUUGGCUAGGAGGACGAAUUCCAUUGGCAAUCACAGGACAACUUUGCCACCAGGGAUCUAGUAAAAGUGCUGUCUCAAUUGUCGAUGCACUCAAUUGCUUCAGUCAGUUUAAGGUUUCUCAAUCAGAAAUAAAUAUUGAACCAAUGAUGUUGUGUGAAAAUUGCCACAGACAGCUAGUGCAAUGCUAUCUUUUUCGUAAAAAAGUACAGGAUGCCGAAAUUUUGCUGCACAGGGACCUAACAACCAGCAAACAUAGUCAAAAUAUAGACUAUCUGCAGCAGGAUAAAAGUAAAUCGGACAUCACACAACAGUUUGCAGAUUUCAACUCACGUUUGAGCCACAAUGGAAAUUUGAAACAGAUUCCGGCAAACAAACUGAUACAGAAAAAUGAUGGUAUGAAUACGAAACAAAUGAAUAAUAAGGUUUAUCAUGCCAAACCUCGCUUUAAAUUAACGAACCAAGUGAGUAACAUUUUACGCCAUGUGACAGUCAGCAAUAGUCGUUUAAGUUCUGUUAAAGAGAAGCGUACAGAUUCUACAACGAUGACUUGUUCUACACCAAAAAGGAUAAAGCAAGAACAUAACUCUGUUAGCAAUCGUUUGGAAAAAACUUUGAUUAUUCCAAGUUAUGUUUUUGAAAAAGAGGAAAACCGGGAGAAACAUGUACUUCAUGUAAAAGGCGCUACAAUUUCUACAUCUUGUCCAAUUCGCAGUGAAGAAGACGUCGAUCGAAAUGAUUCCAAAAAUAUAUUCUACUGCACCCAUUGUCCUAAAGCGUUUUCUGCGCCAUAUCACCUACUAGUUCACACCAGAAGCAGUCACCUGUGUCAACAUUGUUUGAAACUUUUCCAUAAUGUAUCAACAAGAAAUAAGCACAUUCGAGAUGAACAUAAACUGUUUCGCUGUUCACUCUGCAACUUUCAGUCGCAGUACGUUACCAAUUUGAGAUCACAUUUGAAAAAAUCACACUCCGUAACAUUACCAGCGCAUGUCUCUAUACUACAAAAAACUUGUAAAGAUACAUCUGAUUAAAUAUUGAAAUAGAUCCCGCCAGCUGAAAAAUCAAUAAAUUAUAAUCAUUGAUCCAACAUAUUUUGCGAUAAGGAAAGCAGGGGCAGACGAAACCUUGUCAUUAUCUGCCGUUGAGGAAUUCUAAUAUGCAUGCAUGAUAUGUAUGUAUGUUAAAGGUUUAAUGACACAAUAAACAAGAAAAUAGUAUAAAAAGGCCAGUAGAACCCAAUUGAACAGUUGCAUUGAACGAAGUCUAAAGGAAUCUGACUUGAAUGAAGUCGUACCUACUUGCAUAAAGUUGAAUGUGUCCAACUGCUUGAAUGACACGCGAAAGUUCCUAAAACCAUACUUCUCAAUGACUGCUUUCAACGUAGUGAUGUUCCAAAUGGCGUGCCCGCUUAUUAUAAUACAUAUACAUUAGACGUUCAAAAUGAGCAUAUUUUUUCAAUACCAUUAAACACAAAAUAUUAAAGUCAUGAAGGUAAUCAUCUCACCAUAUGUCAACCGUGAGAUGUCUAUUAUAGAAAGGGUGGGUUGUCUAGCUGGUCGCCGUAAGCGAAUUACUUCUGCACUAGGCCCAGGUUAUAAUGUCAAAACCUCCAGGAGCAAUUCAUGACGCAACAGUCGCUGGCGACCAAUCGGGCACAUGUGAGCGAAUUUACUCUGGACUGAAGGUUUCAACGGCAGUUAUGUGUUGUAAAUGGGGAACGUACCUGUUGUUACCGGUUCGUAUCACCUUACUCACCACAGAGUUGACUAUACCUUUGUUGUUCCAAGGCCUCAUUGCAUCGAUAUCAAUGCCGGCUGUCUUACUUGUGGUCGUUGCGUCUGUUGCUCUCAUUUAUGCCGUGUUCUCAUCCUCGGUCGCACCUUUCGACAUAUCCCAUGCAAGUCCGUCCGCGUUACUGCUAUGCUUGCCAUGGUUCUUUCGGUUGUUCUGGUGAUCUAUUAAGCAUUUUGUCUCGCAACCGCAAAAAAAAGAGAAAAAAAAAAGAAUGGGAAUGGUUAAUGGCAAAGCCGAAAAGUACUGUCACAUACAUCCACAUUCAGACCGUCAACAUAUACCACCACCUAAUGAAAUUCAUUCUACCAAAAACGUAUAACUGAUAGCGAAUUUAUCCACUCCACUGGGUCAGUGCCAACACCUGGAAUAAUGAAACGAUACGAUACGACUCACGACGUAAUCUAAAGAGAUGCUAGGCAGUUGUCUACAUUCAGAACUCAUGUAUUGGUGCGCCAAAACUGGCUCAACAUUCGCUGCGCAACUAUCCAUUUCAGGGUGCCAACUGCAUAAUAAUAGGGUCAGUGCAAGUCUACCCAAGAAUAAAGAAAUGGCAUCACGAUUUAGAACGCAAGUAAGAAAGAGAUGCCAGAUAAUUGUUUAUGAACUAAGCACGUGCGACGGUGGAUUGAAACUGACAAAUUUACGGUGCGCUUUGGGCAACACGCCGGGUCGAUACUGCGUCAAAAUCAAGCGAAAGUGGGUGAGCUGGGUGGAAUAAAGAAAUUGCCAUUAGAUCGCAACUGGGAUUGACACUGGGAACAAAUAAAUUCGCGAAAUAAUAAUUAUAAUAAAACAUAUGCAUACACACAUGUAUAUAUAGAAAAAUAAUAAUAAUGAGAGUAAUAGUAGUAGUAGUUGUCAGAGAAGUGAGAAGGGUUAGUAAUGCUACAUUAUAUGAGUGCAAUGGGUGAUCGUUAGUCACGAGGUUUUGUUAGUGGUUUUAGGGUUAGUAUAAACCUCGAUUAAGCCCUACAGACCCCGCCAGUAUUUAGUUUUGUUAGGUCAUGCGAAACUAUAACCGGCGGUGUGAUAAAUCAAGCGUAAUCAAAAAAAAAAAAAAGCGAAUUGCAAUUAUUGUGUUGAUCUCAAUAAAUUGUUAAAUUGUUACUAUCAUGUUAUUAUUAUAAUGUUAUUUAUAUUGUAAUUUUUAAUUAAGCUUUGUGUUUGGAAAUCGGCUUGACGAAUCACCGUCAAGUCCUCCACCCAUGUGUAGGGAAUUGCUGGCUCUAUGCUUAAAACAUUAUGCAACAAAAUUGUUAUAAAAACAGUACUGCGGUUUGUUUGAAUAUUUCUUUAGGUUGAUAACACUCGAGCAGGGAAUAUAGAUACACAUAUGUUAAUGAACAUAAUCACCUUACCCUUUUAACGUCUUAUUAUAGGGUAUAAUGAGGUAAUAUAAUUACUUCGUAAGGUAUACUAAUUUGGUUUAUUUUUUUACCUUUAUCUUCAUUAAGAUACUAAAAUAUCACUAUUUUUUAAAGUAUUAUCCAACUGUAUCUGAAACUAAAAUUUUCCUCGAAAAUUGUUCCAGUAUAAAGAUAUAGGCAAUAAGGUAUCGCUUCGAUGCAAGCUUGUAUCAGCAAGAUGAAAGUUAACUUGUCUUAAACGUUCUAAAAAACGUCCAAUUACCACACCGGGUAG